rnacentral:rRNA from 1 species
AAGCUACCCCGGGGAUAACAGGCUUAUCUCCCCCAAGAGUUCACAUCGACGGGGAGGUUUGGCACCUCGAUGUCGGCUCAUCGCAUCCUGGGGCUGUAGUCGGUCCCAAGGGUUGGGCUGUUCGCCCAUUAAAGCGGUACGCGAGCUGGGUUCAGAACGUCGUGAGACAGUUCGGUCCCUAUCCGUCGUGGGCGUAGGAAAUUUGAGAGGAGCUGUCCUUAGUACGAGAGGACCGGGAUGGACAUACCUCUGGUGUACCAGUUGUCGUGCCAACGGCAUAGCUGGGUAGCUAUGUAUGGACGGGAUAAGUGCUGAAAGCAUCUAAGCAUGAAGCCCCCCUCAAGAUGAGAUUUCCCAACUUCGGUUAUAAGAUCCCUCGAAGAUGACGAGGUUAAUAGGUUCGAGGUGGAAGCGUGGUGACACGUGGAGCUGACGAAUACUAAUCGAUCGAAGACUUAAUCAAUUUUUAAA